GUUGCUCUCUGCGCAAGCGCAGUACAGUGACGGUUGGGGAGACCGUUCCCGCUCGCAGGGCAUGACGGGCACUGUAGUUCCCUUGGGAACGUCCCCCGGUAGCCGCAGCUGGCCGGCUUCCGCGGGCGGACUACAACUCCCAGCCACGGGCGCCGGAGCUGUUGGUCGCAGCCGCUGGUCCCUUGUUCCUUCGCCCCCCGAUGCCGAAGCCCGCAGGCCUGGGGUAGGGGUGGCGGGCUCCGGUAGCCGGAGGCCGGGUGUGAGGAGAACUGGGCCCGGCUGCGGGCAGAGAGGGGUUGCCUGGGGGGACUCCGGCGUAUGGCGCACCGCGUUCCCCCUGCUCCAGUGGGUCACCUCCCGGCGGGGACAAACUGGUAAAAUAACUUCGCAAAGUUUCCCGAAGCUGCUGACGGGCAGCGUCCCGAUUGCUCUUCUGGGCGGAUUUACAAGGAAAUCUCACAAAGGAGCAGACAUCGACUUUGGCUUCAUCUUGCAUAACGAAUUUGACCUUGAAUCCAUUACCCGUUUACCACUCUCUGGAAUACAAGAAAAUGGAGAAACGCUCUGGAUGCGACUUCAGGCACCUGUGCCAAGAAACACAUCUCUAUCUCAACACCCAUCCUGUUUACAGAGAUGUUAAAAGGAAUUUUGUGUUCUUUGUCUCUUACAAUGCAAGUUUCUGUUCUGUUAAGCACCUGCAUAAUUUGAAUCCUUCUCAGGAUUCUUCAUCAACAAGGGAAUUUGUUUCAGUAAGAAGCAGACUGAUCCAUUCCCACAGCCUCAAAUAUAAUCCCUGGGCUACUGGACACAUUAAUACUGUGGCAGCGUGCCACCUGCUUCAUUUAUUCACUUGAGAUUCAAUGCUGCUUAGUCCUUGUCAAAAGGUCUCUUUGUGCAACCUCCCGUGGUAAUGCAAAAGGUCCCCCACAGGAAUUUGUGCUAUUCAGUAGAAAAUACAAAGGGGGUGGCUGUAAACACUCUGAUUAGUGUUGGAGCACAGAGAUAUUGUCUCCACAACAUAUUACAUAACCACACAACUUCCAGUUUACCUCCUCCCCUCCAGAAAGAAACAGUUUAACAGCAAGGGCUUACUGGUUUAUUUAAUCUAAGAUCGUAGCUCGCGUUUGGUUAUUUUUUUGUUAUACAAAGGCUGUGUUACUUCUGGCAAAAGAGGAGAGAGUAGUUACUUCAGUAACAUCCCAUAGUAAUUUGAGAUGAUUGCCUGUGAGGAUCUCCACUUGAAGUGACAGUCGCCAGAGGCUCUCAACUCUGAAGAAUAAGUAUUAGCAGAGGCUGUCGCCAACACAAGUUCACACACAAUGGGCCCAUCAGCUAAUGAACCCAGAAUGAAUCUUCUCCCAUUUUUUGAAGACAAACAAGCAAUUGUGUGCAGUGCUGACUAUACAAAUUUACUGCCAGGAGAAACACAUUUGGAUGACUUCUGACUUGCAAAACUCAUUGUGGCCAGAGACCUAUUUACAGAGGCUGGAGCACUUUCUUUCACCCUCCAUGCCCCACAUUCACUCUGUAAAUUCUUACUGCUGUAAGGACAAAGCCAAGCAAUGUUUCUGCAGUGGCGAGCUCUCUGUUUCAAAAUUCAGUCUUUCUGAUGUACCUGAGCCUCAUAAAUGUAACAAAAUAAUAAUGGAGGGGGAGCUUUAGAAAGUAUUUUGUCAGAAGAAAAGGCGAAAAGGCAGAGCUGUAUUCAAUAAAUGAAUGAUACCUUCCCAUUCCCUCUCAGUUACACUACUACUGCAAGACAGCCAGUUUUGGUGUCAAGUUUGUCUUGGAGAGAAGGGAGUCUACAUGGGUUGUACUAUUUUGGGGUAGCUUUAGACACAGAAUUCUCAUUAGCAAUAAGGGAAUACACAAUGGUCAUAAAGAAGUGUGGCUUAUGAAAGACACUGACCACAUACAGAAACACAUGCAAAACAGUGGGAGCCUGAAAGCAUUAUACAAUGGAAAAUCUAGAAGAAACUGAUUGGUUGAUGUCUUUGGGAAAAAACUAUCAGUUAUUCAUAAGCACCACCACACAACAGGAGAAAAAGAGCUGGAAGAGCUGUACAACACUGAACUCUGCCUAUGCACCUCCCAUGAGCACUGUGGAGUCAUAUCAUUCCCAGAUCUCUGCAAUAAGAAGAAGAUUGAGAAAUACUUAAGCAACGAAGACAAUAAUAAAAAUUUGGUGUCUGGCAGCCUUUCAUCUUAGAUUUGUUUGAAAGGCAUCUGCUUUGUUCCUUGUGACAUCUUGUGUAUCUGUUCUCUUGUGUGAGCAUCACAAACUUUAACAAUGCACUGCUCUGGGACAUGUCAUGCCAACAGUGCACAGCUAAUCUUGCUACAAGCGUUUCUUUUGCAAAACCCAACAGACAUCAUGGUCAGCAAAAUGCUUAAUUACAUUAUCAACCCCCCUCUCCAUUAGCACGAAGGAGCACAGCAGCACAACGGCAAGUGGGGUAGCCCCGAUAUGGUACUGAGAGAAACAAGCCCCUGAUGGAGUUGUCCCAUGACUGCCAUUACCCCACGGGGCAGGGGUGACACCCAUCACCCUGAGUUACAGGAGAAGCUCUCCAGAGCACCUGAAAAGGUGGGGUUACUGCCUACAGGAGUAUGGGGCUCCUGGGACAAAGGGGAAGAGCAUUUUGGGAUGGCUCAAGAUUUACUACAGUAUUUGUAGCAGAGAGACCAAAGGCAGGGAAAGCGAUGGAUGAGGGUUUUUUGGGGAGGAACAAAGACGGAGAAAAAAAGGGGGUUAAGAAGCCAGAUGGGGCUGGUCAGCUGCAAACAGGUGGCAGGUCAGUACUUGUCUGGCCAUGCCCUGCACGUACCUCCUAUCACAAGGUCUGUCCUGUCUUUUUAUUAAAGUCUUCUACUGGGUGACGGGCUCUCUGUGCUGAGUGCAUGGAGAUGUUAAGUGCCAGUCAAUGGAGAAGGGACCACAAGUCACAGGGGCCUGCAGGUCUUAGGUGCCCAUGGCUGGAGAGACCAGAGCAUGUAUGUGUUUGGUCUGUGUGUCAGUGAGUCAUCACCAGCAAACAUCAAGCCAGAGCAGCCAGCCAGCAGGAUAAGUGGCUUGGGAGCCAGGUAUCAAAUCAGCCAUAAUUUUGGGAUGGAUACUGGAGAGACCAUAGAUAUUAUUAGAGAAACAAGCAAGUGUUCUUAUAUUCAAGUACUAUAUGUGGAAUCCAUUAAGUGUACUAAAAGCAAGCCAGGAACCCUAGGGAAUGACAGGAAAGCAAUGUCCCAUUAUGGCCAUUUUACUCACUCUCUGUGCACUCUCAGUGUUAUACUGCUGAAAUUAAGGAACAAGAAGCGCCUGUGGGGAGAAACAAAACAAACACCAAAAAACCCAAACCCCUAAAACAAAACACCUCAACAAAAACCUUCUCUGCUUUCAGACAAAGAAUAACAAAAGGCCUUCAACCCCUUCUCAGUCAGAAUCCCAAGAGACUAAGGAUUUGUAUUAUUCUUAUAUGCAUUCCCUUUUUUCUUCCCUUUAAGACCAGUGAUUUACAAUUCUGUCCCAAAGGACAGUGAUAAAACUGGCUGAUGCUUUACUUGGAGAAGAUUCCUACCCAAUAAAGUUUUUAAAGCAUG